UUGCUUGGGCAGCACAUAUGAGAAAAUUGGAAUGAUACAGAGAAGAUUAGCAUGGCCCCAGGCAAGGAUGACACACAAACUCUUGAAGCAUUCCAUAUUAAA